rnacentral:rRNA from 1 species
GAUGAACGCUGGCGGCGUGCAUAACACAUUCAAGUCGAGCGGAGCUUAGUGAGCAGCAAUGCGAAUUAAGCUUAGUGGCGGACGGGUGAGUAACGCGUGAGCAACCUGCCUUUCAAAGCGGGAUAACGUCUGGAAACGGACGCUAAUACCGCAUGACGCACAGACACCGCAUGAUGACUGUGCCAAAGGGAACCUGAUGAAAGAUGGGCUCGCGUCUGAUUAGAUAGUUGGUGGGGUAACGGCUCACCAAGUCUACGAUCAGUAGCCGGACUGAGAGGUUGAACGGGCCACAUUGGAACUGAGAUACGGUCCAGACUCCUACGGGAGGCAGCAGUGGGGAAUAGUUGGGCAAGUGGGCGAAAGCCUGACCCAGCGACGCCGCGU